rnacentral:misc_RNA from 1 species
AAGGAUCAUUAAUGAAAACCAUUGGGGUUGAUGCUGGCCUCUCGAGGCAUGUGCACGCUCCUUUAAAUUUCAUCCACUCACACCUGUGCACUUUAUUGAAGGGAAUGGCGUAACAGCUUUUCUCUUCCAUUUAUACACUCUAUCAUAAAACCUAUAGAACGCAUUGUUAUUUUGUAACAAAACUUAACAACUUUCAACAACGGAUCUCUUGGCUCUC